rnacentral:rRNA from 1 species
ACUUUAGAGAAAGACUCAGAAGAGGAAUAUGGGAGCCCAGAGAGCAAAUAUAGGACCCAAGAGGACUAAUAUGGAACUAUAGAGGAAGACUCAGAAGACGAAUAUGGCAGCCCCGGGGAAAGCGCAGAGGAAAAAUAUGGUACUUUAGAGGAAGACUCAGAAGAAGAUUCAGAGGAUGAAUAUGAGAGCCCAGAGGAAGAUUCCAUCUUAAAAAAAGAGGGUUUGAUUGAGCAUCAAGGAACAAAAGAAUUUAGUCUAAAAUACCAAAAAGAAGUAGAUCGGUUUUUUUUCAUUCUUCAAGAACUUCAUAUCUUGCCGAGAUCUUCAUCCCUAAAGAUACUUGACAAUAGUAUUAUUGGAGUGGAUACACAACUCACAAAAAAUACAAGAAGUCGACUAGGCGGACUGGUCCGAGUGAAGAGAAAAAAAGCCAUACGGAACUCAAAAUAUUUUUCGGAGAUAUUCAUUUUCCUGAAGAGGCGGAUAAGAUAUUAG